GGUGAGGUGGCCGAGUGGCUGAAGGCGGGCGCCUCGAAAGCGUCUGUGCCUGAAAGGGCACCGGGGGUUCAAAUCCCUCCCUCACCG
rnacentral:tRNA from 1 species